rnacentral:lncRNA from 1 species
CCGUGUUUUUCGUGUUCUGGCUCCCUUGUUUACCGUUUACUACUUUGGGGGUCAGUUGGCACCCAGCUAACUCCCACCCCCAUCUAGUGUAAUUGAUGGAUUUGGGUCAUGCUUUCCCCAAUUCAAAUAUGCUCCUCGUCACAUGGAAAUCUACUUUCAAGAUUUCUAGGUGGGCGCCAUCCCCUGUCCCACAUCGAGAUCAUGAUCGCCGCAGAUCAACACACGUGGCCACCUUUUGUCAACCCCAUAUCCCUCGGAAUGGCCCGUGGCCAAUAUCCGAAUUACGUCGAAUCGUGGGCGCCAACGUAGGCAAAAGUUCCUGUAGCACUAUUUACAUGCGUCCAACGAUUAAAUAUCGUCAACAUCGCCCCCGCAUAGCUAAAACCGCUCGUGCCGCUGCUUGGAUCCACCCUAUGCUUGCUGCGAUCAGUGGGGCAUAUUAGUUUGAUUCCAAACAAGAUAUUCCACCUCAAAGAACUUGGGAACUAAUAAGGGUUCGAUCACCAAAUUUGGUGAUAUGAUAUAUGUAUUUCUUUAGAUAUGUGCGCUAAUAUUAAACGGCUAAGAAGUCAAUGUGCCAAAGAAAAGAUAUUAAAUAUGUAUGUUUCAUAUCAGUCAAGUUAAAUUUUGAUAUGAGCUAAGCGUACUUUUGGAUUGUGCACUCCUAAAUAUAGAAAUCACGCUAAAAUUGCAUAUCUAAGUAAAUAAAGCAAGUAAGUUAUGUAAGACGUGU